rfam:Ovis aries breed Texel chromosome 5, whole genome shotgun sequence.
UCCCAGGUGGCUCAGACGAUAGAGAAUCUGCCUGCAAUGCAGGAGACCUGGGUUCGAUCCCUGGGUCGGGAA